rnacentral:rRNA from 1 species
AAACUGAGAGACUUGAGUGCAGAAGAGGAGAGUGGAACUUCCAUGUGUAGCGGUGAAAUGCGUAGAUAUAUGGAGGAACACCAGUGGCGAAGGCGGCUCUUUGGUCUGUAACUGACGCUGAGGCUAGAAAGCGUGGGGAGCAAACAGGAUUAGAUACCUUGGUAGUCCACGCCGUAAACGAUGAGUGCUAAGUGUUGGAGGGUUUCCGCCCUUUCAGUGCUGCAGCAAACGCAUUAAGCACUCCGCCUGGGGAGUACGACCGCAAGGUUGAAACUCAAAGGAAUUGACGGGGGCCCGCACAAGCGGUGGAGCAUGUGGUUUAAUUCGAAGCAACGCGAAGAACCUUACCAGGUCUUGACAUCCUUUGACCACUCUAGAGAUAGAGCUUUCCCUUCGGGGACAAAGUGACAGGUGGUGCAUGGUUGUCGUCAGCUCGUGUCGUGAGAUGUUGGGUUAAGUCCCGCAACGAGCGCAACCCUUAUUGUUAGUUGCCAUCAUUUAGUUGGGCACUCUAGCGAGACUGCCGGUGACAAACCGGAGGAAGGUGGGGAUGACGUCAAAUCAUCAUGCCCCUUAUGACCUGGGCUACACACGUGUUACAAUGGGAAGUACAACGAGUCGUUAGACCGGGAGGUCAUGCAAAUCUCUUAAAGCUUUUUUCAGUUCGGAUUGCAGGCUGCAAUUCGCUUGCAUGAAGCCGGAAUCGUUAGUAAUCGCGGAUCAGCACGCCGCGGUGAAUACGUUCCCGGGCCUUGUACACACCGCCCGUCACACCACGAGAGUUUGUAACACCCGAAGUCGGUGAGGUAACCU